CUGGUGGGGAAGGCAAGAGCAGGCACUGCUGCUCCCUGCUCCGUGGAUUCCCAGGGAGGCCUGCAGGCGAGGCCGAUCUGUGCUUGGCCUCCAUGUGCUGCUGACCUGAUCCCGGGCACUAAAAAGCUCACGCAACAGGGAGAAAAUGAGCCACCCUGCAGGAGCGGGGAUUUGAGGGGAGCUUGGUUCACCAUGCUCCUGGCCACACUGCCCAGGGCGCCCGCUGGCCCCUGCCCAGCUCUGCGAAUGCAGCUGCUUUUGCAGUGCCACAGGGGGAAACCUCGCCUGAUCGGGCACUGCCCGUUGUGACCCUGAACACGUCAAUCGCAUCACUCAUCUUGCAGGUUCAUGCUGCCACGGGAUACCUCCUCCUUAUUUCAUUCUUUUGCAAGAAGAAAAGUUGCCAAGCAUUGAACCGAGGGCAGGGCAGUGUGCAGUGUGUUUCAGCCCGGCUCAGUAAAAAAUCAUUCCUGGUUGCUGAAGGACCUGCUCAAACAGCUCCAAGCAAGUUCUGCCACCUGUUUGAGAUCCGCAGCACCACGCUUAGCACAGCAGGAACUAGACACAAUCCUGGCUGCCUUAACCACUUCCUUUGAGAGGAGAGAGCUACAGCUGAGAAAAGCCGCUGCCAGGAAGAAGUGAAUAGAACUAACAAGGCUAUUGAGCUGGCCAACAGAUUAGUGAAAGGUCUGA